AGAGGUCUCAAGCGUUGUUCGGAUUCAUUGGGCGUAAAGGGUGCGUAGGUGGCGUGGUAAGUCGGGUGUGAAAUUUCGGAGCUUAACUCCGAAACUGCAUUCGAUACUGCCGUGCUUGAGGACUGGAGAGGAGACUGGAAUUUACGGUGUAGCAGUGAAAUGCGUAGAGAUCGUAAGGAAGACCAGUGGCGAAGGCGGGUCUCUGGACAGUUCCUGACACUGAGGCACGAAGGCCAGGGGAGCAAACGGGAUUAGAUACCCCGGUAGUCCUGGCAGUAAACGGUGCACGUUUGGUGUGGGAGGAUUCGACCCCUUCUGCGCCGGAGCUAACGCGUUAAACGUGCCGCCUGGGGAGUACGGUCGCAAGAUUA
rnacentral:rRNA from 1 species